UUUUAUGAAACUUUUGGAUCAAAGAAUCAAGAAAACCUUCUGGACACAAGAACACAAGGAAUUGAAAAAAUUAGAAAACAAAGGAUAUAACCUGAUUAAAUUGGAGCCAAAACUCUGACACCAACUGAUGUGAACCCCGUAGCAAUGGAAACAACAAAACCCACAACGAGAUUGAUGCGGAACCCAAGAACGCCAAUACUAACCCGAUUUUGGAUCUUG
rnacentral:lncRNA from 1 species